rnacentral:rRNA from 1 species
AGAGUUUGAUCCUGGCUCAGAACGAACGCUGGCGGCAGGCUUAACACAUGCAAGUCGAACGCCCCGCAAGGGGAGUGGCAGACGGGUGAGUAACGCGUGGGAACGUGCCCUUCGGUUCGGAAUAACUCAGGGAAACUUGAGCUAAUACCGGAUACGUGCGAGAGCAGAAAGAUUUAUCGCCGAAGGAUCGGCCCGCGUCCGAUUAGCUAGUUGGUGAGGUAAUGGCUCACCAAGGCGACGAUCGGUAGCUGGUCUGAGAGGAUGAUCAGCCACAUUGGGACUGAGACACGGCCCAAACUCCUAUGGGAGGCAGCAGUGGGGAAUAUUGGACAAUGGGCGCAAGCCUGAUCCAGCCAUGCCGCGUGAGUGAUGAAGGCCUUAGGGUUGUAAAGCUCUUUCGCCAGGGACGAUAAUGACGGUACCUGGAUAAGAAGCCCCGGCUAACUUCGUGCCAGCAGCCGCGGUAAUACGAAGGGGGCUAGCGUUGUUCGGAUUUACUGGGCGUAAAGCGCACGUAGGCGGAUCUUUAAGUCAGGGGUGAAAUCCCGAGGCUCAACCUCGGAACUGCCUUUGAUACUGGAGGUCUCGAGUCCGGGAGAGGUGAGUGGAACUGCGAGUGUAGAGGUGAAAUUCGUAGAUAUUCGCAAGAACACCAGUGGCGAAGGCGGCUCACUGGCCCGGUACUGACGCUGAGGUGCGAAAGCGUGGGGAGCAAACAGGAUUAGAUACCCUGGUAGUCCACGCCGUAAACGAUGGAUGCUAGCCGUUGGGGAGCUUGCUCUUCAGUGGCGCAGCUAACGCUUUAAGCAUCCCGC